rnacentral:rRNA from 1 species
UACGUAGGGUCCGAGCGUUGUCCGGAGUUAUUGGGCGUAAAGAGCUCGUAGGCGGUCUGUUGCGUCGGUUGUGAAAACCUGGGGCUCAACUCCAGGCCUGCAAUCGAUACGGGCAGACUAGAGUUCGGUAGGGGAGACUGGAAUUCCUGGUGUAGCGGUGAAAUGCGCAGAUAUCAGGAGGAACACCGGUGGCGAAGGCGGGUCUCUGGGCCGAAACUGACGCUGAGGAGCGAAAGCGUGGGGAGCGAACAGG